rnacentral:rRNA from 1 species
GUAACAUGCGCGCGAGUCAAUGGGUGUUGAACAGCCCCAGGGGCAAGAUCGAAAGAGAAACGUGCCGCGAUCGCUCUCCACCCCGGUGGACGGGCGCGCAGCGGAGGCCCGCCGCGACGCUCCUCCCUCAAGGGAGGGCGGCGCCGGAGUACGGAGCGCGCACGUUAGGACCCGAAAGAUGGUGAACUAUGCCCGGUCACGGCGAAGCCAGGGGAAACUCUGGUGGAGGCCGGCAGCGGUUCUGACGUGCAAAUCGAUCGUCUGAACUGAGUAUAGGGGCGAAAGACUAAUCGAACCAUCUA